AAUGAAGUGCCUGAAAAAGGGCUAUUUUGAUAGAAUAGAUCAUGCAUGACUUGCCUUCAUUA
rnacentral:tRNA from 1 species